GAAUCCCUUGAACCCAGGAGGUUGAGGAUGCAGUGAGCCAUGAUCAUGCCACUGUACUUCAGCCUGGGUGACAGAAUGUAACU
rnacentral:miRNA from 1 species